GUGUCAGCAGCCGCGGUAAUACGGAGGGGGCUGGCGUUGUUCGGAAUUACUGGGCGUAAAGCGCGCGUAGGCGGUAAGCCAAGUCAGGUGUGAAAGCCCCGGGCUCAACCCGGGAACUGCACUUGAUACUGGCUCACUAGAGUGCGGAAGAGGAGAGUGGAAUUCCCAGUGUAGAGGUGAAAUUCGUAGAUAUUGGGAAGAACACCAGUGGCGAAGGCGGCUCUCUGGUCCGAUACUGACGCUGAGGCGCGAAAGCGUGGGGAGCAAACAGGAUUAGAUACCCUGGUAGUCCACGCCGUAAACGAUGAGUGCCAGACGUUGGAAAGCUUGCUUUUCAGUGUCGCAGUUAACGCAUUAAGCACUCCGCCUGGGGAGUACGGCCGCAAGGUUAAAACUUAAAUGAAUUGACGGGG
rnacentral:rRNA from 1 species